rnacentral:tRNA from 1 species
GCGCCCGUAGCUCAAUGGACAGAGCGCCAGCGUUCUAAGCUGGGCGUUGGGGGUUCGAAUCCCUCCGGGCGCGCCA